CCAGUGUGCAGUGGUAUGGCCAAACCAGAGGGGCCCUCUGCCCCAGCUGACCAGACGCCCUGGCUUCCGGCAACCAGCCACUAAAGGGUUAACACCCUCCUAAUAGGGACCGCCUCCCCUCCUCCCAUCCCCCCACCCUGCCGCUCUACUGGUCGCUCUACUGGUCGUUAGAGAAUUUGGCCAUCACCUCUUCAUUCACUCCAUCAUUCAAAAACAUCUAUUGCAAACCUACAGUGAGCCAGGUCCCAUGCUAGGUGCUGCCCUCAAUGUGUUCCCAAGCCUGUAGGGGAGAGACUUCCAAAUAUGGAUUAACACAGCGUGACAGGUGUCACAAUAGAGGCCUGCAGACUCUCCUGGGGGUCUCCAUGGUGGUGGGAAAGGUCUGCCUGGGGAGGAGUCUCAGAGGAGGAAUGCAAACUGGGUCUUGAAGGUCUGUCAACAAACUCUAGGGAUCCCUCGCUGUUCCAGGCACUGUGCUAGGCUCUGAGGAUGGAGCAGUGAACAAGACCCACCCACAUCUUACGGUCCUGACAGGCUCGGUGGAGAGGCAAAGGGGCUGCUCACGCCUCCAGUGAAGACGGGCACGCUGCAUCUCUGAGCGCCAGGCUCCUCCUCUCCUUCUGUGGCCCUGAGCAGCAGCUGCAAUUAAGGAGAUCCUGGGCACUGACUUCUGGGAAAGGGAGGAUGUUCUCCCAGACAGAUCAGGAUGCUGGAAUUGUCUGCCUCUUCUUUGCUCCUGCCCCUCCUUGUUUUCCAUUGCACAGGACACACCUGCCGCCUGGACCGUUUAGGUACAUGGUGUGUUUACUACCGUUCCUGAGAUCAGGCGAGUUUCGGAUUUGUUUUUAAGAUGCUACAAGAGAGCUUAAAGGUCACCUUGUCCAACUGACCUGGCCUGCUCGAGCUUCAAGCUUCUCUCUGAUUGCCGCCCAGCUUCAGAGGAUACCUUAGGUGGCAAGAAGCACUAUCUCUCAGCAUGGUCCAAUUAUUCACUGGCCACUUCGGAAUGUUUAUUGAUUCAUUCAAUCAAAUGGUAUGUAUUGAAUGCUACAUUCUGAGCACUUACUAGUCACUAGGA
rnacentral:lncRNA from 1 species